rnacentral:lncRNA from 1 species
AUGGUGUACGUCAUCUCUUCUUGAGUGGUAUAACACCUCAGCAGGUGCUAUUGCAGCUCUUUCUCGCAUGGAUAGCUGUAGUUGUGCCUGGGGGUCUAUUUGUUGUUCCAGAAUUUGUGUAUUUGUGUCUGAAUUUCUGAAAAUAAGCUGUCCCAGUCGCCUUCUGGCGUUGAAUAUCCUCCUCUGAUUUCUUCUGUAGCUCCGGAGUUC